rnacentral:tRNA from 1 species
GGGCCCGUGGCCUAGCAGGAUAACAAAAAAACACCUGAAAGGGCGCCGGCCUUCUAAGCCGGUGGUCGCGGGUUCGAAUCCCGCCGGGCCCGCCA